rnacentral:rRNA from 1 species
UACGUAGGGUGCAAGCGUUGUCCGGAAUCACUGGGCGUAAAGGGCGCGUAGGCGGCGCGAGCAGUCGAUCGUGAAAGUCCGGAGCUCAACUCCGGAUCGGCGGUCGAUACUCUCGUGCUUGAGCACUGUAGAGGCAGAUGGAAUUCCGGGUGUAGCGGUGGAAUGCGUAGAGAUCCGGAAGAACACCGGUGGCGAAGGCGGUCUGCUGGGCAGUUGCUGACGCUGAUGCGCGACAGCGUGGGGAGCAAACAGG